rnacentral:rRNA from 1 species
AUUGAACGCUGGCGGCAUGCUUUACACAUGCAAGUCGAACGGUAACAGGCCGCAAGGUGCUGACGAGUGGCGAACGGGUGAGUAAUGCAUCGGAACGUGCCCAGUCGUGGGGGAUAACGCAGCGAAAGCUGCGCUAAUACCGCAUACGAUCUAUGGAUGAAAGCGGGGGACCGUAAGGCCUCGCGCGAUUGGAGCGGCCGAUGUCAGAUUAGGUAGUUGGUGGGGUAAAGGCUCACCAAGCCAACGAUCUGUAGCUGGUCCGAGAGGACGACCGGCCACACUGGGACGGGGACACGGCCCGGACUCCUACGGGAGGAGGCAGUGGGGAAUUUUGGACAAUGGGCGCAAGCCUGAGCCAGCAAUGCCGCGUGCAGGAAGAAGGCCUUCGGGUUGUAAACUGCUUUUGUACGGAACGAAACGGUCCUGGUUAAUACCUGGGGCUAAUGACGGUACCGUAAGAAUAAGCACCGGCUAACUACGUGCCAGCCGCCGCGGUAA